AGAUCGAUGGCGAGAGAGCAAUCUCAAAGAAAGAUUUCUUCUUUCAUUUUAGACCAAGCACAAUUUUGGGAAACAUUUCAUUUUAAGAAUCGCGAUGCUUGCACGAGGAAGACUUUCUCUCCCUGAAAAAUCUCCCAGAGAGAGUGAGAGAGAGCGUGAGCAUGCCUUGGAAUGCAACCUGAUACCACGGACACUUCCACACAUGUGAGUCCACAGACGAGUCCAGAUAUGGGAAUGCUCCAUAAUAUCUUCAAAACAUUCCUUUAGGACUUAAUUUAUCACCUGUCAUCCUCCGUCGCUUACAAAAACAUCAUUUGUCAUCCCCGGAGAUCAAAGGUUGAGGGCCGGACUUCACGCACGCCGGUUUUCGCAUAUGGAAAUUAUUAUGAUGUCAAAGGUCGCAUAUGGAUAUAAUUAUGGGUCAAAAGGUCAAAGUCAUCAAUCAUGUUGACAUAAGCUCC